rnacentral:rRNA from 1 species
GACGAACGCUGGCGGCGUGCUUAACACAUGCAAGUCGAACGGAAAGGCCCUGCUUUUGUGGGGUGCUCGAGUGGCGAACGGGUGAGUAACACGUGAGUAACCUGCCCUUGACUUUGGGAUAACUUCAGGAAGCUGGGGCUAAUACCGGAUAGGAGCUCCUGCUGCAUGGUGGGGGUUGGAAAGUUUCGGCGGUUGGGGAUGGACUCGCGGCUUAUCAGCUUGUUGGUGGGGUAGUGGCUUACCAAGGCUUUGACGGGUAGCCGGCCUGAGAGGGUGACCGGCCACAUUGGGACUGAGAUACGGCCCAGACUCCUACGGGAGGCAGCAGUGGGGAAUAUUGCACAAUGGGCGGAAGCCUGAUGCAGCAACGCCGCGUGCGGGAUGACGGCCUUCGGGUUGUAAACCGCUUUCGCCUGUGACGAAGCGUGAGUGACGGUAAUGGGCAAAGAAGCACCGGCUAACUACGUG